rnacentral:lncRNA from 1 species
AGCGUGUAAACAGAAGUAGCAUGCAAACAAACCAGAUGUUCUCAUACUUAGGUAUUUUAGCUUAGAUCACUCGGUAUUUAUGCAAGCAUUUAAUGAAUUAAUUGGAUACAUUUAUUAUAUCGGUGAAUAAAUGGGCGUCAGGAUGAUGUUUGUGGUAAAGAGGUUAUUGUCACUUUUUGCCACCAGUUCGGCUCAGCUGUUUAUUAAAGGGUCUAUUAGAUGGAUGGACUUAUCCGACCACUGGUAUUGUUUGUAGCAAUGCAAGUGUAACUGAUUGGUCAAGAUUCGAAAACCCACCCACUCUUGUACAACCUUGUCAUAACAGAUUUGAGUAUCAGACUUGCAACCACCAACCUCAAUAUACGACCAGGGGUUUCACUAGACCCGGGCUUUCGCGGAUCUAGUCCUGGAUGUUUUUUGAUCAGCCCCUAGUUUUCUGCGAGCUGAUAUUAACACAGCAAUGGAAUCAACAUUUGCAAGGCGAGCAAACAAGUUCUUCUUGAAUCGUGACUUCUUUUUGCGCUGUGUAUUGUCAUAUAUCGUAAGAGAAAAAAAGCAACCGGGGCUGUAAAUAAUGCCAAAACAAGCAACAUUGGUGCUGCAGCCGAAGCCCCCCAAACCAACGCAAACUACACACACGUGUACCAUUUAGUUCUGCUAGAAUCAUUCUUUCACACGAAGCAACACAACAUCCUUCAACAACAGCGAUCUCGCCUCCGUUCACCACACCUGGCUCUCCUCUUCCACACGCCAUUGCGCUGCCUUCUGACCUCAUCAAAAAACGUAACUUUUACCUUUCAAUAAAAUAAAUCAGAGCAAUAUCCAGAAUAACCAUUACAUUAAAUUACAAUGAAAUUACUGUGACCUCCCCCACAGAACUCUACCCAUAUUCCUAUUUUAUUAAAUUAUGAAAUUAUAAAAUAACACUUCUAGGUCGCAACAUGUACAUUCAUAACGUUCCCCUAAGGUCUUUCAGAGGUACUGAAUGUCACAGCCUUUUCGGGAUGUUACAGGUACAUUCAUAACGUUCUCUAAAUGAUUGCAUAAUGAUUGCUUCUGUUAAUAUUAAACCAGUUACUGGAAUAAUAUCUCAGCAACAGCCAGACUACCUUCCUUGCAUGAGAAAAGUUUAACUAAUCUUCUGAGUUCAGCAGCACUAGGGGUACUUUAGGCAUUAUGCUGCCGAACUCAGAAGAUUAGUUUCACUUUUGAUAUGCAAAGGUAGCCUGGCUGUUGCUGAUAUAUUAUCCCAGAAACUGGGUUUUCCCUAAAAAUCCCACAGUUGAUUUCCCAGCUAACAAGGAACGUAACGGAGACAUUUGUGACGUUCCCUUAAGGUCUACCACAGGUACUGAAGGUCAGAGCCUGUUCUGGAUGUUCUAGGUAGAUUCAUAAAGUUCCCCUAACGUCUUUCAGAGGUACUGAAUGUCACAGACUUUUCUGGACGUUACAAGUACAUUCAUAACGUUCCCUUAAUGAUCAUUAAUGCCCCACGAGGUGAGAUCUUGCAUGGAGCCCCAGACCGAGGGAGAUUGACGUCAUCUUGAACCUCUUCCAUUUUCUAAUAAUUGCGCCAACAGCUGUUGCCUUCUCACCAAGCUGCUUGUCUAUUGUCCUGUGUCCCACCCAGCCUUGUGCAGCUCUACAAUUUUAUCCCUGAUGUCCUUACACAGCUCUCUGGUCUUGGACAUUGUGGAGAGGUUGGAGUCUGUUUGAUUGAGUGUGUGGACAGGUGACUUUAGACAGGUAACGAGUUCAAACAGGUUCAGUUAAUACAGGUAAUGAGUGGAGAACAGGAGUGCUUCUUAAAGAGGUCUGUGAGAGCCGGAAUUCUUACUGAUUGGUAGGUGACUAACUAUGGUCCCAUGAUCAAAUACUUAUGUCAUGCAAUAAAAUGCUAAUUUAUUAUUUAAAAAUCAUACAAUGUGAUUUUCUGGAUUUAGACUACGUCUUUCACAGUUAAAGUGUACCUAUGAUAAAAAUUACAGACCUCUACAUCCUUUGUAAGUAGGACAACCUGCAACAUCAGCAGUGUAUCAAAUACUUGUUCUCCCCACUGUAUGUUGCACCCUUAAAUCAGACUCUGUCUUUUCUUUUGCAACUUUCUUUUGCCAGUUCUGCUAGAAUCAUUCUUUCACACGAAGCAACACAACAUCCUUCAACAACAGCGAUCUCGCCUCCGUUCACCACACCUGGCUCUCCUCUUCCACACGCCAUUGCGCUGCCUUCUGACCUCAUCAAAAAACAUAACUUUUACCUUUCAAUAAAAUAAAUCAGAGCAAUAUCCAGAAUAACCAUUACAUUAAAUUACAAUGAAAUUACUGUGACCUCCCCCACAGAACUCUACCCAUAUUCCUAUUUUAUUAAAUUAUGAAAUUAUAAAAUAACACUUCUAGGUCGCAACAUGUACAUUCAUAACGUUCCCCUAAGGUCUUUCAG